UUGGUCAGGCUGGUCUUGAACUCCUGACCUCAAGUGAUCCACCCACCUUGGCCUCCCAAAGUGCUGGGAUUAUAGGCGUGAGUCACUGCGUCCAACCUCCCAUGUCUUCUUUGUGGUGUUACACAUUGAAUGUUCAUGUCUUCCCCAAGUUCACGUGUUGAAAUCCCACCCCCAAUGGGAUGGUAUCAGGAAGUGAGGUCUUUGGGAAAUGAUCGCGUCAUGAGGGAAGAACGCUCACAAACGGGAUUAGUGCCCUUAUAAAAAACUUGUCCCGUCCACCAGGUGAGAACACAGAAGAAGGCAGUCUAUGAGCCAGGACACAGGCCCUCGCCGGCACGGAAUCAGCUGGCAACUUAACCUUGACUUCCAGCCUCCAGGACGAUGAGAAAUCAAUUUGUUUUUCUAAGCCCCUCCAUCUACGAUAUUGAUAGAGCAGCCUGAAUGGGCUCAGACAUAACGGAUAGAGACAUCUGCAAACAAGCCUUCAUGCAGACCCUGAAAUCACACCCCCGACCAUCUGAAUAUUCACCAGUUUGUUCCUUGACAUGGAAGCUCUCCCCUGCGUCGUAUGGAGAAAACCAGUUCCAGCAAAGCAAUGAGUUGCAUCAAAACGCUUUGACGUUGCUCAUCACAGGUGAUCCUAAGAGGGAAACCUUUUCUGCCUGACAAACAUGGUGUAUUUUGAAACAAUAACCUGAGAAAUGUUCUGUGUUUUACCAGCCCUGCUUAACCAUUUAGUGUCAAUGAGGUAAGACAGUGGCGUCACCAGCGAACACUUAACAGCGGGUGGUCCUAAGGCAGGGGCUGCUUGGCACACGAAAGGCGCUUAAAAACUUGGGGCAUUUUACCACCAUGAGGAUGAAGCGACCAGGGCAAAUAAAGCCAGGGACUUUUGUGUCCUCAACAUUUUUCCUAUUGCAAAUCAGGCUAACAUGAGAAUAAGGCAGCCUCACGGUGGGGUGUUUUCAAAGGACUUUCUGUAGGGUGUGUCUAGGGGAGGACGUGGGGAAGAUAUGUCCGACUCUUGCCGCCUCAUGAUGGCGGCGGGUUUGGGUUGGAGUCCUCUCUAUUUCCAGCUGGUGGGAUCAUCCCUCUCUUGCUGUAGGCUGAGGGCUCUCUGUGUGGAGAAACAGCGGAAGGUCAUGAAGCCCUGUGGUCUUAUGGACAUAGUUCCCUUCUCUCCCCAGCUCAUCAUGGAAGACAGUUACUCAAAGUCAGUGUGAAGUUCUGCUUUCUACAAAUCAGAUCUCGGGUGAGGCCCUCCAGGGAGGAGGACUUCUCUAAAAGACUCCUUACCACUCACCUAGGUUCUGUUUAUCAUCUCUGCUGGUCCUAAGGGAAGCCCGACAUUGGUUCAAAUGCAGCCCAGCAAAUUGUACUAACAAUUCCUUCUGGAAAAAACUCUGGAUAGAUGCUUCUCAAACUUAGUGAUAACCUGGGAAUCUGAGGCCAUAGGUCCUUUUAAAACACUGACAUUUCAUAUGUUCAUUUUGAUGAGAAUCUUAGUAAAAUGUAUAUCCCAUAUUGUGGACCACCUGGAUGACUACUGAAUAACCAAGUCCUUCUAUCCUGAUUUUAGGGCCUGAAUUUAUGUUUAUAAGCACACUGGUGCCAAGUAGUGCUGCUUUAGUUAUUGUGGGCAGGUGAGAAAAGAAUAAAAGGAGACUUGACAUGUCAAAGAUGUAUUCCCGCCAAGCAAAGCAACAAUAACAGAGCUGUAUUGUUCCAAAGAAGGUUUCUCCACAGGUCAAAUAAAGAAAAUGCAUGGGAAGUUAAGUCAUGACAAGGCACGUGGUAACGCAGGAGAAGAAAGGAAAAUUCAUGGAGCAGUCAGCACGGUCAUCAUAUUCCAACUGUCAGAGAGUUUCAAUAAAACAUCAGCACUGCAAAUUGAUAUAUGUUUUUAAAUUUGCUACUUUCAUAGAUUUGUUGAAUUGGUAAAUUAUAUAUGACUUUACAGUUACAUUAGUUUAUACAUAGUUUUGUGUUUGUACCUACUGAAGUACCUACCAUUCCAAUAAACUGAUUUAAAAUUCAAUAAUGUAAUGACCCACAGUGUAGAUGAAUUUCACCCAUGAACACAGAUGCAAAAGCCCUGCAGAAAAUAUGUUAAAAAAUCUAGCUAGGUAUAUAUUAAAAAGUACAUCCCAACCAAUUGCAUCUAUCCUAGUCACAGAAGGCUGGUUUUCUACUGACAAUACAAUACACCUCACUGUCAGAUUAAAUGGAAAAAAAAAAAAAACAAAAAAAAAA